GUCUAUGUCCAUACCACCCUGAAUGCACCCUGUCUCCUCUGAUCUCAGAAGCUAAGCAGAGUUGGGCCUAGUUAGUACUUGGAGAAAUAAUAU
ensembl:rRNA 5S_rRNA 5S ribosomal RNA